rnacentral:rRNA from 1 species
GAUGAUAACCACAACUUUCAACAACGGAUCUCUGGCUMUGGCAUCGAUGAAGAACGCAGCGAAAUGCGAUAAGUAAUGCGAAUUGCAGAAUUCCGUGAGUCAUCGAAUCUUUGAACGCACAUUGCGCCCUCCGGUACCCCGGAGGGCAUGCCUGUCCGAGCGUCAUU